rnacentral:lncRNA from 1 species
UUUUUUUUUUGUGUGUGCGCGCUCGCGUGCGUGCAUGCAUGCGCAGUAGUCCCGGGUAAUUCGAAGGAUGCAUCCAAUCCGAAGCGUGAGUAACUCAAACUUAGCAAAUCGUUUGGUUUGGGAUGAUUAUAAAAUUCAAAUAUACGAAAAAAUAAGUUAUUGUUAUAAUACAUUUGAUGAUAAAAUAAGUUAUAAACAAAAUAAAUGAUAUAUGCAUAAUUUUUUGAAGAAAAUGAAUGGUCAUGAUGAUAAAAAUCUACAACGACGAAUAUUUUGAUACAAAUGUAGUAUAUAUAACGGUCGCACACUACUUAAAUCUAGAGUUACCUUGACAGCCCAAAACCACUCACGGAUACAGGUGCUAAACCACUAAGGUGAUGGUCCUCGGCAAGCAAACCGUCAAGUAGAAUCUGUAAAAGUAGGAUUAGAGUGUUAAAAAAACACGAUUUGCUUGGUGGCUGACCGUCAAACAUUAUUUACUUUGACUGUUGUUGGCCGUCAAGCCAACUAGAGCAAUGUUAAAAUUUCAACUGCACCUAGAACAUGUUCCAACUGCUAAGUAAUUAAAUUUCCACUCCCUCUGAUAAUUCAUAAAUGCAUAUAAUUUCCACUCCCUCUUAUAAGAAAACCGCUAUAUUUUUUUUUAAAAAAGAAGAAGACAAAAAGAGUACAUACCGAUAAUUCAUAAAUGAAUAUAUAGCUAGUACAGUUUUAUAUUAAUUUGUGUGUGAUCCGUGGGAUUAUUAUAGCUGUAUAGGUGUUUGAGGAAUCCGGAUUUUAGUCUACGGGCAAAAUGAACAAUUGAUGAAUUAAGAUCUCUGGUUCCGUCGUGGUGAGUUGAAACUACUCCCUCCAUAUUUAUUUAUAAGACGUACAUGUAUAUUAAAAUUUAAAGGUUGCAAUAUUUGUCCAAUAAUUUAACUAUUUAUUUUUAUUUUUAUAAUGUAAAUUUUAUAUGGUUGAAUUCGUAAUCAAAUAUAGUUUAUAAUGAUCAUAAAUUUAUAACCAUAAAUAAUAUGAUAUAAGAAAUGAUUAUAAGAUAAAUGAAUGUUUAAAGAGUUAUUUGGAAGACCGGCCAAAUCCUAGCAUGACUUAUAAACAUUAUAAACAUAGACAAGGGAGUAACAAACUAGCAGCAGAUUGGCAUGCGUGUAUUUCUGUUCCGCUAGAGCCUUUUCUUUUCUUUCGGUGUGCAGCGUUUAGCCGCAUUCACGUCCCUGCCUCAAGUCUGUGCCAUUUCUGAAUUGCUGCAGGAAUGUGGUGCUUCUGAAUUUCUGAACUCCUGUUCCAUCUGCUGCACAACUGCAAUCCCAACACAUCAUUGUAUGUUUUUACCCAGUAACUCAUCGCUGUUGCAGGUGUUGCACGUCUGGGCUCUUGGUUUUUGCGGCUCUCUGUCGGUGUACUGCACAUGCCGCAAGAGAAAAAUAAAUUACGGGUGUUCUGUUGUUCCCACGGUAUAGUCGGACCACCCUAUCCCCAGUGCAGAUUCACGGCACGUGCUUCACACAAACAAUGCGACAUUAGAGCAUCUUCAUCCUCAGCGGAUUAGUCAUCUUCCAUCACUAAUAUAUUUUCUUUCUCCCUUAAUGAUAACAUUUUUUUUUAACUAGUACUGCAUCAUAUUACUAAAACACCUCAUGCACAUGAAUAUGGCAGAUGAAUGAAUCCCCUUCAUUUGGGUAAGAGGGAUGUGUGUUUUGGUGAUGACUAAAUUUUUUUAUAAUAGAAAUCAAAUUGAUAAUCUAUCAGAGUACCUCUUAUAAAUUUUUAAUGUAGAAGGAUGAAUAAUCUGCUGAAGAUGCUUGUGCCAAACAAAGCAUUCCCUCUCCUUUCGAACAAAAUCUCCCGAAAUUACAUCAAAUCGGCCGUCGCCAAUCACUCGCGCCGAAACUCCCACGCCACGCAUGAGAGACCGCAAGGCUCCAAGCGAGCAUAUCUGCCGUCCCCAUCGGCAGAACACCCAUGACCUGCACAUCUUAUCUAACCCUGUCAGCUAGUACCACCCCACUAGCACUAACAGAGGAGAGGGAUUGCAUUGCAUGGUGCGCACCGGGGACACUUGGACCCCUAAACCAUCCUCCGUUCCCUCCGGAUAAUGCAACCACCGCGCGUUGAUCCUACUGCGUGAGAAGCCGCAAGGACCUCACGGAUGGUGGAUGAAAAAGGAUGGCCUCUCUGGCUCUCUCUCUCUCUCUCUACUCACAGGAACAGAGUGCCUCUGCGUCUCUCAUCCACUAGCCUCUCUCUCUCUUUAAUUGGACUCUUUUCUCCGCAAGAAAAAAAAAUAGUUUGAUUCUUUGAAAAAAUGUCAUGUAAGUUUUUGCUAGAUUUUGGAGCUGCAGAUCUAGUAUCUCAUUGGGGAAAUAUCUCUUUUCUAGGGCUGUUUGGCCUCAGGGUGAGGGGGUGUACGGUUCGAGGACUAAAGUUUAGUCCCUAUCAUAUCAAAUGUUUAUAUACUAAUUAUGAGUACUAAAUAUAGAUUAAUUAUAAAACCAAUUGCAUAAAUGAAAGUUAAUUCGCGAGAUGAAUCUAUUAAGCCUAAUUAGUUCAUGAUUUUACUAUGUGAUGCUACAGUAAAUAUGUGCUAAUCAUGGAUUAAUUAGGCUUAAUAGAUUCGUCUCGCGAAUUAGCCACAACUUAUGCAAUUAGUUUUAUAGUUAGUUCACGUUUAAUUCUUCUAAUUGGUAUUUAAACAUCCGACUAAAAAAUAAUUUUUUAUGGAUCCAAACACUGAUGGUAUGGCAACAUCAAACAGGAUUCAUUUCCUGAUACAUGAACAAGUGGUCACGCAUUUUUAUUGUAUUCUGGUUAUUUCUGCGUGUUUUUAAAUUAAACUGACAUGACGUAUCAUUGGUUUGUAUAACCAGCAAAUGGAAGGCGCAGAUUCUAACAGCGAAACAACAGCAGCCACGGAGCCUUAGAUUUUAACAGCAGUAAUAAAAGAACAAAUUUGUACAUCACAUUUGUUACGCGGCAGCCCACAGGAGAAUCAUGCAUGCUAAGUUCUUUUCUUUAAAAUAAAAUCAAAUGACUAGUUGAGAUCAAUGUGCCUGGUACAACCAUCACUAGUUAAGCAUAACCCUAAUCUAGGUUCACACUCCAGAUUUAGAUUCGGAUGCUACAGCUAUGCUAAUUAAUAAUCCCAACUCUGGUCUAUAACAUAUAAACUUCCAAGACACCAAAGUAUGUUUAGACUACCUGACGCCUGUUGGUAAUGUCGAGGCCCCAGGAGAACUACCUGACACCCUGGCCUGACAGUAUGUUAUGUAAGCCGGCACUUGUCUGUUUUUUGUUUCUUUUUUUCUUGGUUCUCUAUACAGUUAUUUGCUAUAUAAAACCUAUGGGCAAUGCCCAGAUAAAAGCGGCAUGCUACGCUUUUUCCUUGAGCUCGGCAGAUGGCACGAGCACCACAGCUUGGUUUUUCAUGUCACUCCCACCAUUAGCGCACCCCUCUGCUCCUAAUGACAGCAUGUUCUUCUUCAGCCUCUGCAGCCUACACUCGAGUCCACACAUCUCAUCGAUCACAUCCAGGAAAGGCUGAUAAUCCGAGGCCCCAGUAUCCACCAAAGGAGCAGCUUGCUCUUCAGCGCGGGCACCAGUAUCCAUCUGAGAAGCAGCUUCGUCUUCAGGGCAGGCAUCAGUAUCCAUCUGAGAAGCAGCUUGCUCUUCAGCACUGACUUCAUUGUUUGUUGGAUGGCUCAAAUCUGUCUGCAAACAAGACUUGCUUGUAGGUGACGUACUCUCCUGCAAACAUGUUGAGGAAACACAAUCAAUGCAAUGAAUCUGACAGAAGUAGAUCCUUUUUCAAGGCCCCUGCCACUCUAGAUUAGGUCUACAAAUUAGGCAAGAUAAACACAAUCAGCUUUGUGUAUAGUUUCUACCUUCACUUGGCCUGUUGGAGAAGAAGCUCCUUUAUUGUGUAGCCUCAGAGGGCUGCUAGUUGAUUCCAUCUUCCUCUUCUCAAGAUUCCGUUGCAAUCGUGUAGGCACAUUGAUAAUUUCAGACAAGGGAACAAAGCAUGAAUUGUCUCCUGAAUCAACCAUGCCUGAGAUAUCAGCUUUUUCUUCAUUUGUCCUCAAGUUAUUGGAGAGAGUAGCAAUCCGAUCAUUUCUUUCAGUCUGCAGGACAUAAGUGGCAUUAAAAGAAUUGUUCUGUUGAAUAUAAUAUCUGAAAGAUAAAAUGGAAGAAAUAUUUAAACCUGGUGAGAGCAAUAGAGGUUGCGUGGAAUACCCUUGCAAGAGGUUUAUAGGAUAACCUGCCUAUCCUAAUCUAUCUAGGCAUGGCAGGGAGCUGGCCUGGGCCUGGUGUGUUCCCAUACACGCACAUAGCACAUACAUAUCUAACACGCCCCCGCAGCCUGAACGUUCAGACUGGACCUGAACUUCGUGAACACCGAAGAAGGCAAGCCUUUGGUGAAGAUGUCGGCGUACUGAGAGCUCGUCGGAACAUGAAGAACACUGACAUCUUCGGUGGCAACGCGCUCAUGAACAAAGUGUAGAUCAAUCUCCACAUGUUUGAUGCGCUAAUGCUGAACGGGGUUCGAAGACAUGUAGACAGUGCUAACGUUAUCACAAUAAAUCAAGGCGGUACGGCGCAGAGGAACAUGCAGCUCAACAAGAAGUUGGUGCAACCAAGAAACCUCGGCAACGACAUUGGCAACCGUCCGAUACUCAGCCUCAGCACUCGAGCGAGAGACUCAAUAUGACGCUUGGAGGACCAGGAGAUCAGAUUGUCACCCAAAAACACGGCAUAGCCUAAAGUGGAUUUGUGGGUGUCCGAGCAGCCAGCCCAAUCAACAUCAGAAUAAACAAGCAGAUUAGACUGAGUAGAUGGUCGCAGAAGCAAGCCCAGGUGAAGAGUUCCACGCACAUACCGAAGAAUGUGCUUCAAAGCAGCAAGAUGCGGUUCUCGCGGGUCAUGCAUAUGGAGGCAGACCUGCUGAACAGCAUAGGCAAUGUCUGGACGUGUGAAGGUGAGGUACUGUAAAGCACCGGCAAGACUCCGAAAAUCAGUGCCAUUGACAAGAGGAGCACCUUCAGCAGCAGACAGCUUCGGAUUAGUAUCAACCGGGGUGGAACAAGGCUUGCAAUCGGUCAUACCAGCACGAUCCAGAAUCUCCAGCAUAAACAGGCGCUGGGACAACAGAAGAUCAUCACCAGAGCGCUGCACAUGCAUACCCAGAAAAUGAUGAAGCUCACCAAGAUCCUUCAUGGAGAGUUCCCGCUGCAAGGCAUCAGUAGUGCAGCGAAGUAGAGGUGUUGAGGACACCGUGAGAACUAUGUCAUCCACAUAAAGGAGGAGAUAGACAGUGUCGUCGCCACGGUGAUACACAAAGAGAGAAGUAUUAGUCUUCGCCUCCACAAAACCAAGCUGCAACAAGUGUGUGGCAAAAUGGCUGUACCAAGCGCAGGGUGCCUGCUUAAGUCCUUAAAGAGAUCGAUUAAGCCGAUACACGUGAUCAGGGAGAGCAGGAUCUUCAAAACCAGUAGGCUGAGCACAAUAAACUGCCUCUGAGAGUGUCCCAUGAAGAAAGGCAUUCUUCACAGCCAACUGAUGAAUCGGCUAGCUGCGAGAAGGCCAAGGAGAGCAUUGUACGGACGGUGGCGGGCUUCACUGAAAGUCUCAGAGAAGUCAAUCCCUAGGUGCUGGGUAAAACCUAGCAGCACCAAACACGCCUUGCAGCGCUCCAGAGAACCAUAUGCCUUGAACUUGUGCUUAAAGAUCCAUUUGCCGGUCACAACAUUGGCCCGAGCAGGACGGGGAAUGAGAUCCCACGUAUUGUUGGCCAAGAGCGCAUCAAAUUCCUCCUGCAUUGCCCGGCGCCAAUUUAGAUCAGCAAGGCCGCUCCGGUAGGUGCGAGGAAGCGGUGAUAGCGAGGUGGAGUGGAACAGCGUUGGGAAACGAAAUCCCAGCUUCCCGCGCGUGGUCAUGACAUGCUGAUUUGUCACAGGACGCACGGGAAGAGCACCGCGAGGGAGGGGAACCGGAGCAGAAGCUUGCGGGCCUUGGAGCGACGUCCGGAUCGGAGCAUGGAUAGACCUGGAGAGGCCGGCCGGAGCCGACGGGGCGCCCCCACUGGGCAGCAAGGCUGGCAGGGGCUGAAGACGUGCUAACCGCAGCAGCAGUUGAAAGAACACCGAGCAGCGUGCCAAGGGCCGGCAAGCCAGCAGUGCCGGUGAGGCCAAGCACAGCGGGCUUGGGAGAGACGCCAGGAGGUGUGAUGACAGAGGGCAUCGUCAGGGCCGGCCGGGCGCCGAAGAGGGCAGCCGGUGCUGACACCGAGCGGCUGCAGGGCAGCGCCCAGCGGCGAAGUGGAGGCUACCGAAGGAGUAGAAGCCGCACGUGGCUGUGCGGGGGCACCGGGCGAAGGAACAGCCACACAUGGCAGUGCAAGCGCGCCUGGGGGUGAACCUGUAGGUGACAGAAGGGGUGCUGGACCGAUAGGUGCUGGCACCACAUUAGUAGGCUCCAAUAAAAACUCAAACUCCUCAGAAGUGGGUGGCGAGUGGCUGCUGGGAAAAGGGAAACGAAGUCUCGUCGAAGACCACAUGCUGAGAGAUGAUGACUCGGUUGGAGGAGAGAUCAAGACAGCGGUAACCUUUAUGAUGAGCAGAAUAGCCAAGGAAGAUGCACAAAGUGGAACAAGGAGCAAGUUUGUGGGCUGCAGUAGCGGAAAGAUUAGGAUAACAAGUGCAACCGAAAACACGAAGGUGAUCAUAGGAAGGCUGGGCGCCAAACAAAGCCAUGUGUGGCGUCCAAGUGUUUUGGAAGGCAAGAUGUUAAGCAGAUGUGUGGCAGUAUGCAGUGACUCAACCCAAUAAGAAGGGGACAUACUAGCCUGGAACAGGAGAGCGAACAACAUUGCUGAUGCUCCGAAUCAUGCGCUCAGCCCGACCGUUCUGGGACGAGGUGUAUGGGUAGGACAUGCGCAGGUGGACGCCGUGAGUGAGGAAGAAAGUGCGGGUACUAGAGUUGUCAAACUCGUGGCCGUUGUCGCACUGAACAGCUUUCACAGUGGCGCCAAAUUGAGUACGCACAUAGGAGAAAAAGUUAGUCGAAGUUCCAAACGUGUCGGAUUUUAGGCGUAAGGGAAACGUCCACAAGUAAUGAGAGCAGUCAUCAAGAAUGAGCAAAUAGUAGUUGUAUCCAGACACACUAAGAACAGGAGACGUCCACAAAUCAGUGUAUGAGAUCAAAAUUGCUAGACCCUUGAGAUGCUGAUGACUGAAAAGGCAAACGAGUAUGACGCUCCAACUGGCACGCAUGACAAAUGGGACUGAGGUCUUUAUUACGAAAAUGAACUGCAGAAGCAACUUUGGACAAAACUUUAUGACCGGGAUGACCAAGACGGCGAUGCCACACCGACGGGUUGGAGACAGCGGCGAGGGCGUGAGCAGUAGGAAAGCGAAAGGGGUACAGCGGCCGAGAGCUAUUGCACCUGACGAUCAGCCUCCGAGACUCCAGAGCCUUCACAGAACAGCUAGCGGGAUCAAAUUCGACAGAACAAUUGUUAUCAGAGGUGAACUGGCGAACAGAAAUAAGAUUCUUAAUAAGCUUAGGUGAAACUAGAACGUUAUUAAGAGAUAAUGAACCGGGAAGGUGAGCUGCGCCAGUAGCUGUGAUGGGAAGCAAGGAGCCGUCAUCGACAACAAUGGACGAAGGAAAAGGAUACCACGGGUAAGAUGAAUAUGAAAGAGUACCAGCGUCUGAAGUUAUACCGGAGGUGGCACCUGAGUCGAGAUACGAGUCGUUUGCCUACGGUUGGUGGAGCGUCAUGGGGCUGAACGUCGAGGCUAGUGAUUGCUGAUCCCAGGAGGAAGGCAGGUCCGUCAUGGGGUUGUAGAUACCCGGAGGAACCUGAGGCGCCUGCUGCCCCAGGUAGGGCGCCUGCAGGCCGUGCUGUUGCGCCUGCUGCUGAGUGAGGAAGGCCUGCUGCUGUGCUAAAAGAGGUGCGACGGGCUAGAGGGGGGCUGCUGCCGUGGACCUGGGUACAUCUGGAUUGUACCCGUCCACGGGUUCCAGAAGGAGGGCUAGGGGCUGCCGACCUCCUGUGCCGUGCCUGGAGCAGGAGCAUGGGCUUUGGAGUUGUGGCCGGCAGGGGCCUUGCCACCACCACCCUGGCGCGGCUGGCCACCGUGCUGCUGGAGGACCCGGAGUUCCCUCCCUUGCCACCCCCUUUGCCGCCCCCGAAAUUGUUGCUAGUCCGACCAGCAGAUUGGUGGGAGGAGCCAGGGACGUGCGAGGAGGAGGAAGCUUGAGGCUGGUGCUGGUGAGGAGCGCCGUAGACGGAGUCGAAGCAAGAUUCACCAUCGCGAGCCUCCAGGAAGGUGCGGAGAGGCCGGCUGCGCCUAAUGUCGCGGCCAACGGCGGCGAACUUCUCGUUGAGCCCGCGGAUGAUGCUGAGGAUGAGGGUGCGGUCGGAGGGCAUCCGCCAUGCCCUUGAAGCGCCUGCAGUAAUCUGUGAUGGACAGAUCGCCUUGGACAAAGUUGCGGAACUAGGCGUCAAGGUAGAGGGCCCGUGUCUCCCGGUUGCCGAGAAACUGGGUCUUGCUGGCAAGCCAGGUGGCACAAGCGGUGGCACCACGCUCGCCACGCUCCAUGACGAUGUUGACGAGGUCGUUGGCGAUGGUGCCGUAGAGCCAAGACCGAACGGCGCAGUCCAUGCGCCCCAAAUCUAGAGAGGCCAGAGCAGCACGUCACGAAGUACAUUGGUCCUGCAGGGAGUACUUGCCGACGGUGAGGAGGAACUACUCGCGCCACCGUGUGUAGUUGCCGGAGGCGAUGUCGAGGACAACGGGGAUGAGACUUCGGAUAUCCUAUACAGCAACGGCUUAGGCGUGCAGAUUCAAGACGGCAUCAGCUUCGUGCAGGAGCAAGGCUUGAUGGGCGUCGUUGGGCGCCUGAUCGGAGACGGAAGAGGCAUCGGCGGCGGCGUCCUUCUCAGAGUCAGGCGGGGCACCCUUGCGCUCCUCGACGGCGCGCGCCAGGGCGUCGCGGAGGCGAGCAGCAGCGGCGUCGCGCUCCUGCACAACGGCUGCGUUCUCUUCCUCAGCCUUGACGGCGCAGGUGAGGGUAGCGGCACGCGCAGACUUGCACGUCUGGCGCUCUUUUUCAGUGCGUUUGGUGGGCUCGGCAUCCGUGCCGUCGCGCUUGGUAUUGGCGGCGGAAGUCUUGGUGGUGGCGAGCGGCAGGGAGCCGACCAUGGGCGUAGCGUGAAGGACGCGUGCGGGGUUAGCUACGCCGGCUAGGGCGCACUAGGUUGCGGAAGCAAGAACAGGAGAAACCCGGACUCGUGAUACCAUGAGAGCAAUAGAGAUUGCGUGGAAUAAUAGAUUGAUUAGGGUAUACAAGGUGUACAAAUAUAUAGGCAGCCCUUGGGAGAGGUUUAUAGAAUCAUAAUCAAUCAAAGGAUAACCUACCUAUCCUAAUCUAUCUAGGCACAGCAGGGAGCCAGCCUGGGCCUUGGCGUGGUACACACCAGGCCCAUACACGCACAUAGCACAUACAUAUCUAACACCUGGCACUAUUUAUCCUUCAAUAAAUUUACACAUGCAACUAAAAUAUUCAGCAUAAUAGAAGAAUUUAAGACUGAAAAUAUAAUCCCCUUUAGACUGAAAAUACGAUCCCUCCGUUUUUAUUUAUAGGGCACACACGCAUAUCAAGAUUCAAACUUUGCAAUCUUUGACCAACAAUUUGACUAUUAAUUUUUUAUUUUUAUAAUGUAAAUUUUAUACGGUUGGAUUCAUAAUCAAAUAUACUCUACAAUGAUUAACCGUAAACAAUAUAAGAUAAGAUAAAUAAAUGGUCAAAGUGUUAUUUGGAAGACCGUGCUAAGUAAUACCAUGCCUUAUAAACAUAGAUGGAGGGAGUAUAAUGUUACCUACAAAUGAACUAAUCUGCAAAGGUGACUGUGGACUUACAAAAUUCAAAGAAUCAAGUAUCGAAUAAGCACUAUGGCUAUAAAUCUUUUAGGCCAUGGCAUUAUUAUAACUGCCAGAAUCAACAUGAUUACUUUCGUACAACUGAGAAUCAAACUCUUCUCCACAUUUGCUAGUAAAUGUGUAUUUCAGACAUUGGAAAAGAAAGGUAUGAAUUGUCUGCGGAAUCAACCUUGCCUGAGAUUCCAGCUUUUCCUUUACUUCUUGAGCUUUUGCUGGGAGCGGGAUUAUGACUGUUCCCUUCAGCCUGAAAGAUGGCACUACUGUUAACAAUAUUUGAGUACAUAACAACAAGAUAUACAGAACAAAAAACUAGAAGUUGGUUUUGUGUAUCCUUCAAUAAAUUUACAAAUGGAAUCAAAGCACAUGGAAUAGAAGAACAUAUAACACUUAUAGUGCAGUUUAGUUCUUGCCAACAACUGAUUCUGUAUAAAAUAACUUGUACACUUAUAAAAAUCACAGAUUCACUGGAACAAACGCAUUGACAUCAUUAUUUUUCAGGCUUCGAUUAUGGGCCUCGCAGCAAAUGCUUGCACAGAGAAAACAGAAGUUAUAGAGCGGGGAAAAAACAAAAAUCAAAGACAACGCAGAAUGCAAGGAAAUACUAUUUAUUCAAUGAUCUUAUGAAUAACCAUGAGACAGAAAUCCAUGCCUUACGAUCUCUGAGAGCAGCACACCGCGUAUUUUUGAACCAUUUAUCAAUCUGCAAAUGGAUGGCAGACAUUGGUUACUGACGCUGGAGACAUUUUCAGAAAAAGCAAGUUGAUAAUCAUUCUAUACUUCUUAGAUGCUCUGCCCAACACAUAUUGUUAAAUUAAAAGAGUGACAACUGUGAUAUGGACUAGAGUAUCUGACUUUAAUUAUGAAUGGUAUUUAUAGCAUUACUAUAACAAAAGAGUGGAACAUAAUCUGGUAACACAGGGUAUUUGAACAGCAGAAAGCAACUUUCAGGUGAAUAAAUCAAUAAACACAUAAGAGUAAUAAAGAACACAGAGCUGUCAAAAUUGAUCUGAUCAAAUCCUACGUACCUUUUCGAAAGAAAUGUCCAAUUCUCUUGAGAGAUUUUCUUUGACAUCUCGGGGUGGGAGCUCAUUUUCAGCAAAAGAUUUGCGAAGCACCUAAUUUAGGAAGGUGAAGGACAGAUGAUAUUAAUGACACACAAGCGUGAACAGGACAAAAAUGACAGUUCCACAGUAGCAAGCAUAAUAAGCUAGUUUUAACUCCAAUUACAGCCAUGAGUUUGCCUUGUAUCACAGCAUAUACAAAUGCGAAUCAUAAUAUGCAUAUAUAAAGAGGUCUAUCAAUUUAUAAAGGUCAUUAAAACUUUCAUAUACCUCGACUGCCGUGGGAGGAAUCCUGAAGAGUUUUCUCCCCUUCUUCUCAGUCUUUUCAUCAGAUAUAACAUUCGAGAAACCAUCAACAGAAUUAUCCUGUACACUGGCUGCACGUGUUCUUCUUUUCUUUCUUCUGUCAUGACCCCAAUCUUCAUCCUCACUCUGUUCUUCAUUCUCAAUUAUUUUUCCAAACAUUUCCUAUGCAGGGUGAAAGGUAAUCAACAUUCCAGCCCGUUGGGCUAACUUAUUGCCGCAAAUCAACAUUUACUUUGUGAAGGUUCAACUUGUACAUAAUAUUUCUAAGAAAAAUGUUUUAAAUUGCAGAACUGGUAGCAAUAAUUUUACUGGUGAAACAUACCUCAUUAAGUCUUCUAUAAUCAACAUCUCUUCUUGGCCUUUGGUAGGUAAGGAUCUGUGCACCAUCAUCUUCACCAGAGUCUAUGCCUAAGUCUAAAUUGGCAUGACAUAACCCUUCAACGUCAUUGAAGUCUGCUGAUAUGAAGUCCGGAAUAUCAUCAUUUGGUGAAUAAAGUGGACUUCCUGAACCAUUGGAAUCAUCAGACAUAAUUUCUUCCCCACUGUUCAUGCAGCUGCUGCUGGCCUCAUUUUCUUCAGGAUCAUAGUCCUCAUCACCUGAAUACUCAGAAAGCCAAUCUUCAUCUAGUGCAUCCUCAGAGUCUAUUUGUUCCGUUGCUUCCUUGAAAACAUCCUAUAGAAAGCAAGUAGAGUUGACAAUUGACAGAAAUAGGAUAGAAUUGCUAGAGUAAAAUGAUCAUAGCAUAGGUGCAGAAAUGUUAAAGACUCACUUCAAAAUGGCACUUCACUGUAAAAUUUGUUCCUAGAUGUGCAUUAAUAGCUUCUAAAAUUUUCACCUUGCACAAACAGAAUUUGCAAAGCCAACCAUGGCUACUUGUUGGAAGAGCUGAGAAAAGCACAAGACAGAUAUACAUAUUAAUGGUAAAAUAAUUAGUAACGCAAUAUCUGAGUAAAAAUAAACUAACAGGUCUCUGUGUAUUUCCGAUGAGGAGCAAAAACUACAGCAGGCUGCAGGCAACACAAAAAAGUACUGAAGUACAAUACCAUCAGAACAGCAUCUGUACUUUUUAUGCAUGUCAUUGCAACCUAGAUUAUAUGACCAAGCAUUAAAUUACAUCACUUUUUGAUUUUAUCCUGAGGAAGGUGAACAAGAUUUUAGGUACACAUCCUCUCAUGCACAAAGUAAAAAAGCUGUGUGAAUAGAAUGGCUCGUUUAUUUUGAUGUGUCUGAGCAAAACGGUUACCCAUCAACUGGGUUUAAAAUGGAAAACUUAACCUUCUAAAUUUUCCCUGUCAGCAAACAAAAUAGACACUGUUUUGCCAUAAAUGUGUAACUAUUUUAUCACACUGAGUGCAUAAAACAGCAUGAAAGGCAUGUAAACAAGUACGGGACCGCAUAUUCGGAAGGAAAAAUAGAAAUUAUUACCACUUUUUUCUAAAGGAGGUUCCAAACAUUUCUCAUGAUAUGUCCUUUUGCAGGCCCCUUCACAGAAGAUAAUUUUAUUGUUGGGAAAUGAUUCAUGAGACUUGCAUGUUGAACACAUGAUCUAGCAAAACAAAUAUUGACAAUUCGUCAGUUGAAAGAGAGAUCCUGAGGAAAUAGAGCAUUUGAUGUUCACUUGAUGCUAUACGUACAUGUUCAGGAUCAGUACACUCAGCUGGAGGCAUCACUGGGUCAUCAAAGCUCCCAGUGGAAUUACACACAUCAAGUUGGCGAAUAACAUCACGUAUAGCAAUUUUGCAUUUUAUGAUCUGCUUCUUGGCACGCUGCAGUUCCUUCUCUGGUUUUAUUUUCUCUCGGCUGAUUGGAAAGGUGCACUUAAUCAGCGUACUAUUUACUAUCAUACCUAUUUUGCUGUACUAACACAUAAAAGCAACUGAGCAAGGAAAGUAAUGUGGUGGGGCUGAUUUAAGGACAGUAAUAUGACCAGUUAACAUGAUUCUAUCCAAAUAAUAGACAGGGCGGUGGGAGGGGUGGGGGGGUUGGAGUACUUUCGCUAGCCCAUGCCAACAAAAGGUACUGCACUGAUCUUGUGAAACAGAAUUCAAUCACAUAAGUCCAAAAGUCUACUUCCAACAAAUUAAGACAGAUCAGUAUUAUUCCUAGACUUCAAAAUGCCAGAAGCAAGUGAACUUGUGAUCUUACUAUAAUUAAGAAAUUUUAAUUGCUUAAAGCACGUUGUUGUCGUAUUGUCCACGUGCAGCUAUUCUUCUUGGGUGGUAAUAAAUCCCAUAUAUAUUAGUUCCAAAACAAAUUGGCAUCUUGUUGGCUUCAAGCCUUAAAUGUCUAUUCAAACAUGAUAACAUUAUUGAGGUUCCUGUUUUAAAUGAAAAAUGCAUUUACUCUAGUUGUAUACAUAGAUCUGAAAAUCUUCUUUCACCAAUAGGUCACAGCAGUUAGAGCGCAGUGUGCACCUUUGCCCAUUCCAUCCAUCUCCAGAGUAAGCAUCUAGUAAGUUCUGCUCCAAUUUUAUCUUGAUUAGAAAAUAUCUCGCUCUUCGUUCCAAGCGAGUUGCUUCAUCAGUAUUUUGCCGCUUUCUUUUCUUCCUCCUCCUCGCAACUAAUCCUGUUACAACUUUCCCAGCAACAGAAUCUGAACCCCUCCGACGUUUCAGAGGACUACAAUGAUAUUUAUUCUUUAUGCUUUUUGCCAAAGUAGCAUUCCUAACUUUCCUUGGUGACCUCUUCAGAGGAGAAUCAUGUUUACAUUGGCGGGAAGCAUUACGUCGACUUGGCCUGUUUGAUACAGGAACCAACUCCGAAGAGGUCUCUUUCCUCCUUUUUGAUGAUCUCCCUGAGUUGGAGCACACCGUUUUAUUUUCUGAAGAACGCAUAACUAGUGAUGGUGAUUAUCAAAGGGGACGAAGACCUAAUACAAUAAAAAGAUAUGUCAAAUACGAGAUAGGCAUGGUAAGAAGCAACAGGAAAAUUUUAAUUUAAAAGUAACAGCAACAUAGCAUGAUAAGCAGAUUGCUAUAGCAUGUCAUUAUUUAGCACAAAGCUAUGGUGAUCUCAACUACCUAUUUUUCUUAGGCAUGCCAUCUAAGAAAGGUUGCCAAACCAGACACAUCUACAUAAAGCGCUUGUUGGUUGGCCAGGUUCAACAAAAUAAAAUAAAAAACCGGCACUAAUCUAUAUAGGUGUUCGCAGGAACAUAUUAAAAAAACAUUGACAUGAACAUAAUACACUAUGGUUUCAGAUGAUGCACUGUAUUACUUCUCCCCAACCGUGUGUGCAAAUAGCUGCCACAAGGUGGACAGGUGAGCGCAGUACGUUUUGCACAUACCAAACCCAAUUGGACAGUCUGAAGCACAGAGUAUUGGCAAUUUCAAGUUGGUUGUUCCAAGCUGACAGUCGAAAUGGGGUCAGACUGUAUGGAGAAGAAACAUCUCUAACUCCAAAUCCAUUCGAGGCAGUAGAUCCGGACUCUACAGCACAGAAGCGAACCAGACGAAACCUACCUAAUCGACCCCCUCUUCAGAAACGCUAACCAGCAAACCAAAUUGCAGAGCAGAGGGGGAGAGAGGCGGGGGAGUGGAGGCGAAAUGGGGUUUCAGACAGCGUAGGCUCGGGCCGCGACGUACAAGUACAAUGGCACCGGCGACGGAGCCGCAGACGGCGACUAGCCCGAGGACGCGGGGCGCGCCGACCACACCGGCCCACCCGCCCGCCCGCUCAGAUGCGGGGAGCGCGGCCGGCCACGGCGGGCGCUGGAGGCCGGAGGCAGCCGACGGAGCUCGGGGCGGAGGAGACGGCGCUAGGGCAUGGCGGCGGCGGUUGCUUGUGGGGGAAGGAGAGCGGAGCGGCGGUGUGAACGGGAAGGCGGAGGCGGAGGCGGCGUCGCUGCUGCUGCGAGCGAAUUGAAGAGGACACGGAAACGGAGGAGGCGGGGAGGGGAGGGGGGGCAGCCCGGCAGGAAUGACGCGUCGCCUCAGUUUCUCUGCGCCCCGGCCGUUGACGCCCGGGGCAGAGGACGGACGGGCGGGAUGGUCGGGAGCGGGCGAUCGGACGGCCGGGGCAACCUUGGAUGCUGCGACAAUUAUUGCUCCGUCACUCGUCAGUCAAUGGCAGGCAAGGAUGGAUUCGAAUUAUUAUUAUUAUUACAUUUUUCUAAAAAAGCAUUUAUUUUCCUUUGAUGGUGAAAUCGUUGGUAAUUUGAAGUAAAAUCAACCAAAUCAAGGGAAGUUUGCAGUGAAGUCGCCCAACUUUUAGCGAGCUCGGACACCGAUGAACUUGGGAUCCUUCGUGCCAUUCACAGCAGUAACCAAUUGGGAAAUGGCCAUUUGAAAUUCUGCCCCUAAAUUUUGAAUGAAACAUUUAUUUAAAUUAAAAACAAACUGCCCGGACCCGGCCUGGCUUUUUCUUUUUUACCGAAAAACUCAGGAAUUUGGAUUAGUUGUACAGGCUACACCUUCUCAAAAACAAGUUGAUAAACACUACGUGGAAAUGAGGACACAAAGCUCCUAGAGUAGAACAAUGUAACACAGUAUCGUCUUUGCAAUUUUACAUAUUUCCUCUAUAAAACAAUCACUGCAUGAUGUUACACCGAUGAACACAGAUCACAUAUGGGCUUAACAAUAGAUGUCUGUUCAGAGUGAAUUAUCAGCCGCCAGCUAUCUCAAGUCCUCAACAGCCAAACAAAUAGACGUGCAUCAUUUCUUCGCUUUCCUAGUUCUCUUCGCAGGUUGGGUUUUCCUUGCGCCCUUUUUAGGGGCCUUCCCUGCAACCUUUGCCUUCUUCGGUGCCUUCCCCUGCAUGUCACAGGAAUCGGUUAGGGCUUCCAUCAGGAGCACUUUGAUGUCGAGAUGCGAACUAUUAAUUGUAAAGAAGGUUUCAUACUUCCAUAAUUGGUAAUCCCUGAGAAUAGCAGCACACUAGCACUAAAGAAGAUAUACACAAGCAAAACCUGGAGUCAAUGCCAUCUUUCCCUACCAGAUUCAUCGCAAACUUGUUGGUAGCACGUUCUCUACAUCUUUGGUAAUGAUUCUGUGAAAUUACUACUUCAUUGAACAUUUGAACAGCAAGGAAGCCUAAGGAAACAGGAAGGCCAGUGCUAAUUGCUAAAGGCUUGUGCAAUUUCAUGAUAAUAACCCGUAAAGCAGCAGUGCAAAGGACAUGAUAACAAGAUAUGCACAAGUGCACAAGCAUGUUAAUAAUUAAACCUUCAAAUGCCCCUCGUAAAAUUGCAGUCUGGAACUAAACACCUCUAAUUCAGAAUUCCCAAUCACUACAAGUCUGGAACACUUUAAUGGACAUCUUCUGUACAUAACAAAAUCCCAGAAACUAGCUACAGAUAAUUAGGUUAUUUUUUUCCUCGAAUGCUCACAUAAUUGGGUUAUAACAAGUUAGUUAUCAACUAAAGUGGAGGCAGGAAAACGUACCACUUGUUUCUCAGCUUUUCUUUUGGUUUUCGCCUUAGGUUGACCAUCAUCUUCAUUAUUCGGAUCAUUUUGAUAGGCCUGUGAUUCAGGAAGCUUAUCACCCUCCUCAUCUGAAUCAAAUGUGAAUCCAUCAAGGGUACCUAUACAGAAGAUAGAUCCAUAAUGUUAGAGAAGAAAAAUUGAAAUACAGGCUGUCACCAUAGAAACAAUGGGUCCAUAACUUCAUGCAGAUUGUUUUUUCCUCACAGGCGCACACUAACACUAAAGCUGCACCCAAAUGCGGAAGCACCUUUAAAUAGCUCAAUCAAAGAAUGAUAGAAGCAUGCCAUAUUAACUUGCAUGGCAGCUUUGUACAUCAAAGAUGCUCUGAUCUAAAGUCUAUAAUUAUGCUAACCUUCCAUCAUAGUCUCCGAUUCAAAUAAAUUGGACGGUGGUUCCAGUUGAAUGAAGUCAUUCAUUAUAGCCUCUAUCUGCACAGGAAAAACAGGGGAUGCAUUAUGAUAAACAGUUGCCUUGGAAUAAAAGUGACAUAGAAAAAUGGAAUACAUAAAAAAAAUGUAUAGUUGGAGAUUGCACAUUAGACACUCGAAUUUAUGACGUGUAAACUGAUAUGGUGGAUAACACUAAUAUGCUUAUAAAUUUAUUUAAUGGUUUACGAACCUUUGCUUCUGAUUGUCCCACACUCACCUGAAAGAGGAAAUGCACCAAGGAUUAAAGCCUAACUCCUAAUAAUAAAAUUGUACUUGAGUUUCAGAUAUAACUUACAACACAAAAUGUCCUGGAUGGAACUAUGGUUGUUUUGUAUAUCGUUCCUGUUUCAGUAUGAAAGAAGAAAUAAUAAGCUAACUCUUGGAAUAUGCAUGUAUCAAGACAAAACAGAGCUGGUUUUCAAAUGCUUUAGCUGAGCUUUAGUACAGAUAUCUUGCCUGGGAUUUCCUACCAUAGAUUAGAAUUCGGAAAGCCAAUGAAGUAUCUAAUGUGAAAGUUACUUGAUGGUACCUUUCAGAUCCAAUAACAAAUCCUGACUUCCAGUAGGACCGUUUGAAACUACUAUCCUCCCAACAGCACCAAUAUCUCCACUCAAAUCUAUCGAGUCACCAUCACAUUCAAUCAAUGCCUAGAAAAACAAUCAAAUACACAGAACAAAGGAUUAUUAACUAAAGUAGAUAUUAAUAAAAUAAAUUGUUGGAUAAUAUAGUUGGGAGUUUCCAGGUAAUAGCUUCACUAAGUUAUUUUCCAGAAGUCCAAUUGCCGAUAGUUCAGCUUUACAACAUAGUCACAUGUAUACAAUUCAGAAAUUUUAAACUAACCCAUGCUCUUGUUCUUAAGUCAUUAUUUGCUAUGAUUGGACACACACAGUAUCGUAAAAAACAGUACCCAUGUCAAAUCUCCUGACUGUACUUCCGUUGAUUAAAAAUUUAUUUUUGCUAAGCAGACAUUUUUUCCAUGAAGAAAACAGAAGAGGGGUGGGGGAGGACAACAGGCUUGUUGAAAGCAUUUGGUUGCAAGCAUAAUUUUUUUAAUGAGCAGUGUUCACAUAGGCAGAGGCACGGAGCACUAAUUCCUGCAAGAGUUGAUCAUACCUUUGAACGUUGAACUUUAUCGGGAAACAUUAAUGGUAACCUCUGGGAGACCUGGCAUUUUAGAAAAAGAAACAUAUACUCAAUCAAAAGGCUGCAGAAACAUAAUUUGAAAUAAUCACACAGAAAGGUACAAGCUGUUUUUUUCCCUUCUAUUCUUUUUUCUUUGGUAAACGCCCCUCAAGUUUAUCAUCCAAAAUAUCACGGGGGUGAAAAUGCAUAAAGUAGAGAGGGGUGAGUAAGACAUCUUACAGAGUUUCCUGUAAGUUUAUCUUGCAUUUCAUCCUCAGCAACUCCCUCUUGAUGUUCCAAUGCGUCUAUGUUGGACCAUGAAACAGUAAGUACAUGUUAUUCAUAAAUCUGACUUUUAAGCUGGUAACUAAAAUGGCAGCCACACUAAAAUGUCUUACCACCUAUUUGGUCUGGAUCAGAUUUUGCUCCCACAACCUUUGGUUUUUUAUGCUUAGUUUCUUGAACCCCUUUUCUCCUGGGAGUGCUAUGUGAGUCCUCUUCAUGAUUAGCAUCACCAGCCCUUGAAGGGCUGUUUCCAGGGGAAGCAUCAGAACCAGAUGAAAGUGUAAACACAUCCUUCUUUGGAGUCUAUAAAAAGAAUAGGUACAACAAUUAAUUGCAAAACUACAGCACUAGUGUCUGCACCUAGUAUGUUGUAAACUUGUAUGAAGUUAAAUUAAACAUAAGAGUUGCAAUAUCUGAUCACUAGUAACACCAUAAAAAUUGAAUAUUCCAAAGAUAAGGUCCAAACUAAUAGUUGCCACAAAGGAACCGGAACUGAUAAUCUGUGCACGAAAAAGGUGCAUGCUCAACUGUAUCGAUGGCAAAUCUUACUAGUACAAUCUGCAGAUCAAAAGAAUACCAGCCUGGAUAGCAAUAUAACAUGAAUUGAAGCUAGGGAAUUCAAACAUCUAAAUCCAUACCGAGCGCCUAGUAGUGACAUCUCGUUUUUCAUCUGUGGUUGGUCCUUCUGCAUGUUUGCCAAAAGAAUCUAUAAGCAAAUAUGUGGAACAACUGGAUUAUAAUUUUAAUGAGAAGCACUCGCUACUUCAUAAUUUUAUUGCACUAAGUAAACAGGUCAACCAGAUCUACCUUUUUUACUACUAAGAGUUUUUCUUCUAGCAAAUGUCAGAGUCUUGCGCUUGUUUUGUGCAGGGUCUUCUCUAUCACCUGCAUGAUCUGAACUAGCCUGCUUUUCUCCAUUUCCUUGUUCUCUAGAUGAAGUGGUCCUGGUAGGACUAGCUUCAGGAGAAGCAUCAGACCCAGAAGAAAGCAUCACUGGCGCCGUACUUGGUGCCUAUACCAUAAAAGAAGAAAGAAAAAUUCAAAUCCAUGUAGUAACUGCUUAUUGCUACAUAAUAACUUAUACGAAGAGAUGAUUUUGGAACAAAAAAAAUUUGGAAAGCUAAUGUAAAGACAGAAGUAAGAGUAGCCAAUGAAUACUGCAAGAACAAGGUACUAAGAAUGGCGAGAAUGACAUUUGGCACUACUGAUGGAGUUCUGACAUUUAUUGACCCAAAAGGUUCUACAAGCUCCCCUUACAAAAACAUUCACCAACCUCCAUAGACCUACACUGUGGAUCUGGAAAUCAAAUUGCUAAAACAAGCUCAAGGUUUUCAUGUGGCUUCUCAGUAUUGACAGACUCAAUACAAGAAAUUUGCUUAGAAGGGGAUACAAAUAUACAAUAUUGUGCAGCGCAAAUAGUGAAGUUUUUUUAAAAUGGAUAUUGGAGAAUUCAACCUCAAUUCGUAGCUUCAGUAUUAUAUGCUGGAACUACACUGUAAUAAUUUGGGACACAAAGCUAAAUUUCCUCAACAUGAUGGUCAAAGGGAAAAAUAAUUCACCAACCCUACUUCAUGGAAAUUGUCACAAAUGCAGCUUGGCGUAUUUGGAAGCAAAGAAAUCGAUUAAUCUUUGAAGGACGACAACGAAAUUUUUAUAUCUGGAAAAGGAGCUUCAACUUCAAGGAUGAAAUCCUCCAAUUACACAGGAAUAGAAGAAAGCGUUAGAUGUUCUCUCUUUUCUUGAGUGGAGUCUCUUGUGUAAAUGUUUUUUAGAUCUUUAGUUUUCUUUCAUUUGUUUUUCUCCCUUUUAUUUUUCCUUGUACAAUCCUCUUAUUUGUUUGUAUUUAUAUGAUAUAUAUCUAGCAUAGGGAUCUAUCCUACUGUAUUUCUUUAGAGAAAAAGGAAUGAAAAAGGUGCUGACUAUCUUAUAGCCACUGUCACGAAUUUGUGACAUAGAAACUACCAUAGCACCAUUCACGACAUUGCUUGGUGCUAUCAUAGGUGGACGGCUACUGUUUAACAGAAAACACAACCAUAGCUGCAUACAGACUUGUCCUGAUACAAACUCACAAAUAUCAAUUCGAAAACGAAACGGCCUACAGCUCAAUCCUACGAGGAACAGGAAGAACAAGAACUUUCUUGAGGAGGGCAUGGACAGUUUACGGCACAGGAAGUGCCAAUUAUCAGCAUGCACAGAUCAAUGCUAGUUCGACACCAGUUUGCUUCUGAUGUGUGAAGCUGAAGCCGCACAUUUAAUUUUGACCACGAUAUGAGUGACUAAACAAGAGGUUAGCACUUAGCACUCAGAGGAUGAAAACUCUUUUCACCCAUCGGGGUUCUGGGUUCAGUACCGUCUGACCUAAUUCGCAAGAAGUUCACACUUCACAAACAAUUGCGCGACACUAAAAGCUAAAGUUUAUCCAGAACAGCUGCUCCCUCUUGCAAAAAGAAAUUUCUCUUGUCCCCGGCAGUAGCCACUCCAAGAUUUAGCCGCGGAGGGUACAAGAGAUACUCCAAAGCAGGAUGGUACCUGAAACGCGGUGAGCCAGUCGGGGUCUUCGUCUUCCUCCCCCAUUCUAACCGCUGGUGGCGCCCAGUAGCUUCGUGGGGAGAUCACGGCGCCGCCGCCGCUCGUCGGCUAUGGCCGCUGUGGGGGUAAGCGCGUAGACGGGGAAAGUCGGAAGAAGCGAGGACGAGGGAGGGAGAGGGCACGGGCUGAGGGUUUAGGGACCCGCGCCCGCGAGGGCAAACCCUGUACCCGUCCCCGCGCCCGCCGCCCGUCACGGUUAAGAAGUUGUGCCCGCGCCCGUCACCCGCGGGUACAGUCUACCCGCGGGCACACCCGUGCCCGCGGCGACGGGAAACCGGGCGUCAGGCGGCGGAGCGGGCGGCGGGCGAGAGGGGGGAAAGCGAGCCGAGCAUAUCAUGGGCCCGGCCCAUUGGCAGCCCAAUAGGCCAGUAGUGAGUUUUCUUUUUCUUCUUUUUAAAAUAUUUUUAUUUAGAUUUCCUUUCGAUUGAGGCUAGGCGACGACAAAGUUUGGAUCACUUGACGAAAGGAACACGGCAGCGCAGUUAUGUGCAAUGACGGGUAGCUGCAAGGAGAGACUCGGUAGUAGCAUACUCAUAGGAGAGCUCUCCAGUUGAGGUUACUAGCCCCGUAAUUAGGAGGGGGGGGGGGGGGGGGGGGGGGGGGGGGGGAUCACGCGAGUCAAAAGCCAAAAAAUGCUACUGUGCCAUCGCAUCAACGAGUCAGUUUCAGUUCUAAACAUUCCCUCGGUAAUUCCGGUACAUAGAUACAGCUGGUGGUAAAAGUAAACAGCAACACUUAACACCUUCGUGCCCCGGCAUGCAUAUCCAACUGGUAUGUCAUCACACAACCAAGCAUGCGAUUAAGUCAGCUACAACUUCUCUGAAAAGCUACAACUCUUUGAUGAACCACCGGCAAGUGCCGAGGAAGAGAUGGAAGGGCAUAACAAGGCUCCAUAAAAGGACUGCCACUAGGGUUUAUGAGGUUGCGGUGCAGGCGAGCCCCGGAAUCAGCAUCAUAUCUAUCAGGCGUACUGUCUCUCACUCCUCGUGAUAUUCUGGGUUUUUCUUGAGAAUUACAAAGCCCUCCAGUACUGGUGUGAGUGGAAUGUAUCUGCACAAAGCAAACCAACAGUAAUUAGAUUUCCUGGGAGAAACAUAUACAGAUGGGUGUAUAACACAUUGUUAGUUCAAACUUCAUUAUUACUUUUCAGUAGCUAGUUCAGCACGCUCCCCUGCGGCAAGCAAGACGGGUGUGGAAUGUGUCUGGAAGCCCGUAAUCGUUUUGGGCCUUCCUGCCUGACCAACAACAUCGACAGCUUGCCCAACCCGGACUGGAACAGGCAGGGGCUUCAGAUCCUCAUCCACGGUCAAAAGCAUCCUAGGCUGUUGGCAAAAUAGAGUUCAACCACAAUAUCCAACAGUUCUCUAAUGCAUUCAUAGAUGUGGUAACAAUUGGCUAUGGAAACAUACCUGCAUUGCCAGGACAAUAAUGUAAAGGAUGUAGUGAUAUUUCCCUAGGAUGGUGGAUUUCAUAUCAAGGCAGGCAUGCAAAACAGUUACAAGUCCUCCCAGUGCCAUCCUAGAAAGACCACAAGGAAAACAGAAAAAAGAUUGAAGCAUAAUCCAGUGGUAUUCACAUGUGAAUUGGGUAUUCAGAUAUAGUCACUUACGGGGAAAGAAGAAACCGAUCAGAAUGGUACGGAGAAAGGGUCAACAAGCCCUUUCCAAGGUGAACGAGCCCCUGAGCAAUUCUUACCUGAUGAACACAACAAAAUUAGUCAACACAUGCAACUUACACAACCAAGAAACCAUCAUAGUAAAUGGAUGCCAAAAGAUCAUUGUGGAGCUAUGCUUACACAAAACAGAUGAGCAGCUUCUUUGUAGUAAUAACUUGAAAGGUUGCGAAGCAUGCCAGCUAUUCUGGCAUUGUUUGUCCCAGCACCAAUCAAACCCAAUGAGAUGAUUGCAGCCUGGAGAAAGUGUAAUUAGGAUGUAAGAUUGACUAAGUAAGAAAGGAACAGCUAGAUACAAAAAAAAAUACGAACCAUUGAUACAUCAGCAUCUGCGUCAUGACUCAAUCUGCUCAGUGUGUCCAUCACAUUUACCUGAGAAGACAAGUAUUAGAAAAGCACCACCGAAAACCUACUAAAUGUCCUGGCAAUAUUAUGCAACCUAUUCAAGUGAAUGCACCACUGAAAAACUACUAAAUGUUUAAAUCGUCACAUUCCCAAACAGAACAGAGUAUUUUUGUGAUUCGAAAGAAGAAUAUACAAGAAGAAAUUGUGUAACACAAAAUUCAGAACCUUGCAUAGGCAUAUAUGAUGUAGAUCACAAUUUGGUUUAUGAUAUACACAGCGAAGUUAACUUGGCCACACUUUAAAUAAUGAGGACACCAAGCAAAAUUUUAGCGUUACAGUAAAAUCUAUCUUGCUUUGAUAUGAUUAAUUUCUAACAUGGCACUAGAUCCAACUUGAAGUCUUGUGUUCUGGGCCUAUAUUAACAGUAAGAGGGAAGAAAAGGUUUUGAAUUGAGAAACGAAAAACAGAGUUAGCUUACAAACCAAACUUUGAUCCAUAGAUUGUGGUCAACAUUUUUUUAUAAAAGAAUUAUAUCAAUAAUACAUUGAGAAUAGCACAUGUGCUUUGUUGUGUGUGUUUGUUGGUGCAAGUGCAUCCUUUCAUGCAGUAACUCAUGGUCUCAUCAGAGGGACAUUUCCAAGCGCAUGUAACAAUUGUCAAUUUACAAACCUCCAAAAGGAUUCAAAUAUAAUACAGUUUUACAUGAAAUCCAAGUUCUUAGCACUUCACUGAUCAGGCAUAAAUGAUUUGAGCAGGAGUUUCAUAUUUCUGAGAUAUUUAGGAUGUAAGACCAACUUAUCCGCAUACCUUGGGAUUAGAUAUACAGAGUAUACCAAGAGCAAGAGGAACUGCACGUCUGAUAUUCUGCUCGCCAUACUGCAAAAGACGCUCAAGUGAACGUACGGCCAUUUCAGCUCCUAAUUCUUCAGCCAUAGCAAUAAGAGCAAUUCCAAGGACAGCUGGCCCUUGGUGUGUUUCACCCUUCUCAAGAUGCUGUGAGCAAAUGCCAAGAAGUUUCUGAACCUGCAAGCAGAGUUGGAAUACAAUUAUUCAAAUCAAACAACCCAAAUUUGGUACAAGUUUGAAGUUGCUAGAAACCUUUUCCAGUGAUAUUAAAUACCUUAAGCACAUUCCCUGUCCCGGCAUAUGCCAGUGACAUUAGCGUUACAUCACAGUACUUCCCUAUCUUCUCAUCAAAUGUUUUAGAGACCUCCGCAGUAGCCUCUACACUUUCCUGAAAUAUGAAUUGGCUAUCAGUGUUCAGUAAUAGCUAAACACAUCUUUGAAAGCCACUAAAAGUGACCUUUAAAAGGGCAGGGACAUACAUCUAGCCUACAAUUGGAAAGUGGCAUGUGGCAACAGGGUAAACAGGAAGAUACUUCAGAUAGAUAUGUUUAAUCCUAGCAGGAAUUUAUUUGAAUACUUAAUCUACUCAACAAAAUUGCAAAGUUUGAAAUCAGAAGUCUCCAGGUUGCUUAAAUCACCUGUUUUCCAAGAUAUAGAAGGCCAAGUGCAACGGGAAGCAACCGUAUAAUAGGCUCUGACAACUCGGCCUCACUACGCUCCAUCAAGGCAAAUAUGAUAGACUGUGCAAUCUCUUCAUUGCAAGAACCAACAAACACCAAUCCCAAGGCAAUGGCUGAGAAGACCAAGACCUCCAGAGGUGAUUGGGAGUCACCCAACACAGCAGAAAGAUGCAUUUUCAGCUGAAAUUUAAGAAACGAUAUUAAUAAGAAACAUGUAACAGAUCAAUGGGACAGUAAGACAGUAAGCACAAUUUUCCACCUCUUCUUUCUGGGAACCAGCAUAUGCAAUUCCAAGACCCAAUAUUGCCCCAAUACGAAUGUUUGAGUCAUCCUUGCCAAUAUACUCCAUGAGAAUAGCAAGCGCCUGGCAGAAAGGUUAGGGUAUUAGGGGGGUAGGGGGGCAAAAGAAGAUGCAUGGAGAGAGGACGGGAUCAAGAGGUUUAUAAUAAAGUAAAGUAACAUACAGGAUCACAAUCAUUCUUCACGCUGCAAGUGACAAUUCCAAUACCUAGCAAAGCUCCAGCAACAACAUGAGUAUCAUUACUAUGCAAGUAUUUGUCAAGCUGAGCAAGCCCAGAAUCAGUAUCCCACAGGAGAAUCAUUCCCUGGAAACAAGUUAUUUAACUGUUAAUGGAUAGUUCAGACAAAAACAAGAUUCUCAGGUUAAAAACAUAAAGAAUACUGUAAUUAUACCAGACUAGCUGCUGCGCUGGCUUUUCCGUGUUCCUUGUUCUUGAAUAACCAGUUUCCAGAAGACCCACUGCUGGACGAAUCAGAUGGAGCGGUCAUCAACUUGUCCUGCACGAAGUAUAUAAGAAAACUUAAGAUGCACUAUUUUCUCACAAACAGGACCACAACUGUUUCAUCUCAAAAGCUAACCUGGCCAAACCCAGCGUUCACAAAUGCAUUGACGAAUGUUGCAGCCAAAUUCUGUCUUGCAGAAUCAAGACUAGAGCUGGCACCACGGCCAUCAAUCAAAUGGACCUACAAAUUGCACAACCACAAUUAUUAUGGAUGAUGACUGAAUUGUGCCACCAAAUACAGUAAGCAGUAAAUAUACAUCACCUUGUAUAUAUCCUCUGGAGAUUUUGGCUCCAUGACCUCAAUAUCACGAGCAAGAGUAAGGUAUCCCUCACUCAGCUUAGUAUUAUUAACUAUUUCUUGCAAAACCUCCUUGUCAUUGUCAUCAGAAGCUAUCUCAUCAUCAAUCUCCAUAGCCAAACCCUUCAGAAGAGGAAAGAUGAUGGUUCAAAACCAGGGGAAAACAAGAUCAUAAUGAGGUCCAUCUAAGUGUUGUGUGCUAGCCACUUGCCAUGAUUAUGAAUAUAUGUGCACACAUGGUAUAUGACAUACGAAGAGGAGAAUGGGGGUGGAGAGGGGCUUACAUGGCGUGCUAUGAUGUAUGAGAACUGUUUCUUGAGCAGAAAAUCAUCAGUUGAUGUGUACACUUGCUUCACAUACUGCAUGGGCUACGGACAUUUAAACGUGUGUUAAUAUGGGUUUGGUUCUUAAAUGAAGUGGUAUGGCAUGAGCUAAUUGUGUACUCACUUUGUCAAGUUGCAGAGCAAUUCUCAAAGCACUUGCAAGGUCUCCAAACUUCAUAUAGAUGGUAUAUGCUAUGUCAAGUGCCAACAUAUCAUCAGGAGCAGGAAGAUAUCUGCACGUUUCACGUUCAGGAACAGAAAAGUGUUAGUUUAAUUUCGCUGAAAUUCAAGUAUAUCUAAGUUCCACAUUCGUUCUGACAUAGAGGGCAAAAGCAAUACCACAGAAAAGCACACAAUAUGUUACAAAGAGAUGCAUGCUUACUUGGAUGAACUAGUAAGGUACAAGCAAGCUCUUUUGUAGUUUGUAGCGUCCACAUGCUCAACUAGCAAAUCAAGGUCUUCAACCUACAAACGAAUGAAAUUUAUGCAUCAGUAUAUUCAUUCGCGAGAAAUAUUGGGGUGUACUCUGAGAAGAACAAGUAAUAUGGAUUGAAGGUACCUCCAUCAGAAGAUCCACAGCCUCAGGUUCAGCAUUAUGCUAAUAAAAAUAACAGAAGAUAAAAAAAGUUAGCACACCUAAAAAUUCAAGAGAAGAGAAUAAACAUUCAACCAUGAACUCUAAUCAGAACAAACCUUCAUGUGAAAGGAAAUAAUUUGCUGCACGAGCUCCAUUAGGGCAUCAAUGGGCAAGUCAUCAUCCUGGAAACAAUGAAAACCACCAUUAGAGCUUUGAAAGCUAGAAAAUGGAACAGAAUAAACAGGGUCCACUACUUAAUUCCACUAUUGCCCAGUAGCAUGAAAAGAAAAAUAAAACAAGAAACAAUAAAGGUUUUGCAGCAAUUUGCAAUGAAAUUUGAUCUUGGUUACCAGGUACGUGGGACUAGAAAUGCUAGAUAAAUGGGGUAGAACACAUAAAAUGAGCCAGGAAGGAAUGAAAUGCAGUUGUUUACCAUGCCAACCUUAUCAAUGAAAACAUGCUGUGACUUUCAACUAUGCAACAAUCAACAGUAGAAGCUCAUGCGAUUCAAAACUCUAAAAUUUCAAUGUGGUAGGAAGUUAAGACAAAAACAACCAAAGAACAAAGUUUUAAACAUUUACAGGGCGUUAAAUAGAAGAAACAGGCACACUAAGUUAUAACAACAUUACAAAAGGAUUCAAGAAUUCUACUAUAGCAUGGAUAUGAGGUCAACCUGACGCUUUUGGAACUCUUGUGCGAUCUCACCGGCCAAAUUCCUGUACAUGAGACACAAAAUGAAGUAAAUCCAAACGAACAGGCAAAAUAGACAUCUCUUGAGAUAUUGAUGAAAUAGUCAACAACAGCAUUUCAGGAUGAUAUGCAAAAAGUUUCCUCUGAAAUAAAGCUAGUAUAAAAAAGGUUCAUGCCUGUCAUAAGUUGAACUGGAUGUGACCAAGUAUGUAAACAGUGUAUAAAGGUUUAUUGAUUUGUUCAUACCUUACGUAUUCAUGACCCCAUGACCCGAUGUCACCUUCAGAGCCCAACAAUCGAUACUUCAGGCUCUCCUGAAAAUAAUGUGUAGGAAAUCACAUUUUCGCAGAUGGGCACAAGGAGUUGCAUGGGAAUAGCUGAAUUUUUUUCCCCAACAAAAAACGAAUAUCUAGUCUACCACAGUGGGGGUGAAUACAGCAGGCACAUACCCUUUCUCCUUCAAGGGACAUUGUCAAAGCUAACACCGACAAAAUGUCCGCCAUGUAUUUCUGGGAAACAGUAAGAUGAGAUCAGCACUGUAUCAAACCAAUCUAAAUCACAACUCACAGCACAACUGGGUGAUCAGCACUUCACACAUACCUUCAGCUCAGAUUCUGGCAUGGUCUCAAAGUAGGACUUGAGGGUUCCAUAGUGUGGGCGGAGAAAUUUCAGCGGCUUCGGAACAGAAGUCAUUGAGCUUGUGGCGGAGCGGAUCUCCUGCCUGCAGAUUAAGUGACAGCAAAAGGAGUUACACAAGCUGUGGGUUUGCACAAAACUACAGCAGCAGCGAUCAAACUCAUCUUAAUUUUGAGCCUACGGCGAAAAGAAAUCAUACGGCAUGCUGAAUUCAAGUAUUCAACCACACAUCGUAAACCUAGAACUAUGAGCCCACACCUAGAACUAUGAGCCCACACCACAAAAACUUUGCUAGGGGAGUGAUGGUAAAUUUUAAACCUAGAACAGUGAGCUCGCACCACACAAACUUUGCUACAGGGGGAAACGCAAACUGAAUCUACCUCAUGCUCUCGAGGGCGAGCUUCUGGACACCAGGAUCUGAGUCCUGCGCUCGCAGGACGUACAGCUCCAGUUGCUCCUUAAGAGCCUGGUCUUCUUCGGACUGCGCCAUCGAACAGAACACGUCAGUCCAAGCCAAACAUCAGAUCGGAUCGAAGCAAAAUAGGGCGAGGUUUUUUAGCGGACAAACCAGAUCGUCCUCUUCUUUCUUCUUCGCCUUCUCCUUCCCUUUAACCGCCGCCGGCGGCGGAGGUUGCGAGUGCUCGGACGGCGCGGCGGGGUUCGGCUGUUCCGGCGCCAUGACGGCUCGGCGGCGGACGGGUGGAACUUCUGGCGAGAAACAGACGCGAAGCAGAGGGGAGGAAACUGAGGAAAGGAAUCGCCUUUAGAUGCGAGGAGGCGCCGCACGCAGGGCGAGUCCUCCCUCCCCCUCUCCGCUCACCGUCACGAGGCCCAGUUCUGAGGCGAAGCCGAACUCUCUCUCUAGUGGGCUCGGCCCAGUUCGGUCAGCCGUCAGCCCAGUUCGGCGACGGUAGCGUGCCGACCUCCAGGUUUUGUGGCCAUCUCCAACACGUUCGUCAAACCAAUUUUGUCCUAUAAAAAAUGUUUGGAAAACUUGGUUCCAUAGCACUGAAGGAUCAUAACUUCUGUAAAAUAUCACUGAACUGAAAGGUUGAAACGUUAACGUGAAUUAGCAUUCUGUUAGAUUUUGGCAGCAGUUCUGUUAACUUGAACAAAAAUACCCCAAACCGUUAUAACCCAUAAGAAACGCAUGCACAUGUGACGAACUGGCAACAUUUAAUCAUAAACAUAUUGUCCAUGGCAGCAUAUGCAUUAAAUAUCGAUCGACAACAUAAGGGCAUCAUUUCAACAUGUUCUGGGUCAAUUUCAUAAAGCAAACAGCAGCAGUCAAGUCUCGCUUCAGCACAGUAGCUGUUCAUACAUCGCUAAUUCAGCACAACAAAUAGUUCGACGUGGUCUACUUAAGGAUCACACUAGCACACACAACACAAAAUGAGCUUUUACAACCAGCCUAGUUUAUAAUCAGCCUCCUAGCAAUUCCUCCUGGUGAGAUGUCAAGUUGAGUUGCCAUUCUUCUUGUAGGCCCUGGACUUAGUGGUGUAUUUGGUGGUCUUGUUGGAGUAGAAGUAGAAGAUGACAUCCGUCUUGUAAUUACUCCUGGACUAACUGGUGCUUAAGCAACUAAGGCAGUUGAGGUGCUUGCUGCACCAGCCUUGGAGUUUUCAGAAGUUUUCUUGGAUUUUGAAGUACCAGCCUCUCCUUCCCUCUUCCUACACAGCAGCAAUUUAAUCAAGCCAUUAUGCAGCAAAAAUGUUGGUGAAACAAAGCAUAGUAAUAAAAUGACAGGAGCUUAAUUUACCUAGAUUUGGAAGGAAAUGAAGGUGGUAAUUCAACCUAGAUUUGGAAGGAAGUGAAGGUGGUAAUUCAACACCAAGUUCAGUUGGGGGCUCACGGCAUCCCUUCUCAAUAUGUCCAAAUUGGAAGCAUCUUUUGCAUUGGUAAGGGCCCCUUUUUUCCUGGCUCACCUCUACUCUUGAUCCUUUUGACUCUUGGCCUACCUGUAGAUCUUUCUAGCUUUGGAGGCAACAUCUCAAACCUAGUAUCAAUUUCACGCCAUUCUGACUUGUCAACCAUCGGGUUGACUUCAAAUUGAUAAGCAGCCUUGAAAUGCUCAAGUGAGUAGUACUAAUGCAUAUAGUCCUCUAGUUUAACUUGUCUCAAUGAAAAUAUGAAACAAACAGCAUGGGUGUAAGGUUUACCAGAAAUUUGCCUCUGACCAUAUGAGCAUGUUCUCAAUUCAAGGUCCACAACUUGCCUCCAAGAAUAGUUGUCUUUAGUCAAUCCAGAUAUCUCAGCCUUAAGUCCACCGCUCCCCUUGAUCGUGUACUUCAAGUUUCUCAUCUUCAGCUCAUUGAUCACACUAUCAAGAAUUGGCCCUUCAAGUCUAUUAGCGAUGUGCUACCUCAUCGCUAUCUUUUCCAUGAUCACCCCCCUAAUCGUGUCCACGAGGGCAUCCACAAGCAAACCUUUUGUUGGGGGAAAUAUUAACGACCUCCUAAUGUCCAUUAAAACAACAAUCAUGAAGGUCCAGGCCCACCUGAGGUAAUGAAGACUGCCGUCGGCCCAACACGGGAGAGGGGAGAGCCCCGCUCCCGUUCUCCCCCCGCUCCCGUGGGUCGGGCGAGGCGGAGCAUGGCUCCCCCCCCCCUCCCGUGUUGGGCCGACGGCAGUUUUGAUUACCUAGUCCUAAAUUGUAGGUCAUUUUAAAUAUAAGUGUAUAUCUAGAGAAAAAUCAAGACGACCUACAAUUUGAAACGGAGGGAAUAUUAUUUCCUUAAAUAUUAUUUAUUGCACGACUAAUGUAUUUUUCCAUUUCAAAUUGCCGAAUGUUACUAGAUGCAUUAUUGUGCUGGCGGCAACACGCGGGGUUUUUGACUAGUUAUAUAUAGCUGGCGCCAUCGAUCUCUACUUCACACCAAGAAGCCAAAAAGAGAAUCACGGUGCUCGAUCUCGCCUCCCCUCCACCGUCAAGAAAACCACAGGUCGUCUCCACCAUCUGCGAAGGACAAUGCGCGGCAGCGAGACCAACGCUACGGCGGCGGCGCCGCACGUCGUGUUGCUCUCGUCCCCGGGCAUGGGCCACGUCGCGCCGCUGGCCGAGCUGGCGCGCCGGCUGCACGACGCGCACGGGUUCACCGCCACCGUGCUCACCUACGCCAGCUCCGACUCCGCCGCGCAGCGCGCCUUCCUCGCGUCCCUGCCGCUGGCCGUCGGCUCCGCGUCACUCCCGGCCGUCACGCUCGGCGACAUCCCCACCGGCGCCGCCAUCGAGACGCUCCUCUCCGUCGAGGCCCAGCGCUCCGUCCUGGCGCUCACCGAGGUGCUCUCGGGCCUCAGGUCCACGACCAACCUUGUCGCCUUCGUCGCCGACCUCUUCGGUGCCGACACGCUCCGCGCGGCGCGCGACGCCGGCGUGCCCGGGUACCUCUUCUUCCCGUCUAACCUCCUGAUGCUCUCGCUCAUGCUCCACCUCCCGCGCCUCGACGCCGACCUCGCCGCCGGCGAGUUUCGCGACCAGCCCGAGCCCCUCCGCCUCCCCGGCUGCGUGCCCGUCCCCGGCGCCGACCUCCUGCAGCCGCUCCAGGACCGCGCCAGCGACGCGUACCGCUGGAUGGUCCACCAUGGCGAGCGGUACCGCGACGCCGCCGGCAUCCUGGUGAACACCUUCGACGCCGUCGAGCCUGGCGCCGCCGCCGUGCUCCGCCGGCCUGAGCCCUGGCGCCCGCCAGUGUACCCGGUCGGGCCCGUCAUCCGGCAGCACGCCGCGGGCAGCAGCCCCGCCGCCGACACCACCGGCUGCAUGGACUGGCUCGACGCGCAGCCGGAGAGGUCCGUGCUGUUCGUGUCAUUCGGCAGCGGCGGCGCGCUGUCGACGGCGCAGACGGAGGAGCUCGCACGGGGCCUGGAGCUCUCCGGCCACCGGUUCCUUUGGGUGGUUCGGAGCCCCACCGACGGCGGCGGGGCCAACCCCGGCGAGAGCUACUACGACGGCUCCCGGAGCAAGGACGACCCCCUGAGCUUCCUCCCACCCGGGUUCGUGGAGAGGACCAAGGGCCUCGGCCACGUGAUCCCCUCGUGGGCCCCGCAGACCAGGGUCCUCGGCCACCGCGCCACGAGGGCUAUGCUGACGCACUGCGGGUGGAACUCGGUGCUGGAGAGCGUCGCCGCCGGGGUGCCGAUGAUCGCGUGGCCGCUGUACGCCGAGCAGAGGGAGAACACCGUGAUGCUCUGCGAGGAGACCAUGGUGGCGCUGAGGCCUAAGGUUGGGGACGAUGGCUUGGUCCUCGCCGAAGAUGCCGCGGAGGUGGUGAAGGAGAUGAUGGGAGGCGGCGAGAAGGGUGAGGCGGCGUGUGUAAAGGUGAUGGAGCUCAAGGCGGCGGCGAGGAGCGGGCUCGAGCCCGGUGGCGCGUCUUACGAGACACUCGCUGAAGUUGUGAACAAGUGGAAGGCAGCUAGUGAAGCUGAUUAACGCUGAAUGUUCAUUGUGUACAAAAAUCUGAAGCAUGGCGAUUCUUCUCUCUGUCAGAGAAAGAAUUUGCAAGCAAAAUGGUACUCGUGUGUACCUCAGUGCCUGUACUCUUGGUCCAGUCAGCUACACUUUCAUGAUCGUAAUCAUGUCUUGUAAAUUCCUGGCGAUCGAAUGGUUCCCGUGUGUUUUUUGUUAUGAUUUGUCAAGAAACUUGAAGCUUGUGUUCUUUCAUCGUUUCAUGGGAAACUCAGUGCCAUUAGUAUAGUACCUACAGCAGUUCCAUGGUCCACUCCUGCAACGGCUGUGCACAUCGGCGGUUUGCGUACGAUGCUCCGCAGAGUCGUACAAAUCUGGAUUGAUUCCAAUUUGUUUACAUUUUCAAGCCAGCAAAAAACAAUGCAACCCAUCCCCCCCUAUGUUUGAUGUAGUGCCAACAGCCCAACACCAAUUUGUUCCUAGUAGUUUACUAAGCCCUCUCAUGGCAGUUGAGAUGCUCGUGCACCAUCGUGCCGCUUAGACAAUGCGCCCUUCCCCUCGUGAUCACAAGUUCAGCCACUGCAAGUUGGUUUUACGCAACUAUUUUCCGAUGGAACCGAUUGAUUCCCCAGCUGGCUGGCCAGCCAACCAACGCAUGGGGCGUGUCUGCGUAACCAUCAGCAUGGCGCAUAUGAAAAUAAUGUAUGCGGCACUUUACCCAUGGAUAAAAAUAAUCCAACCAUCGAGCGUCGCUUUUUCAAGGGGGAGGAAUCAGCAAGAGGAUAGCACCAAGGUUAUCACAUCCAUCACAUCUAAGAACAUAAUCAAAACCCUGUAACGGCGUUAGAAACAGCAAAUAGGCAGUUGAUUUACGCACAGAAAAGCAAGAGCACAGGACAGGCAUGGUAGCUUAACAAUGAAGGUAAAAUAAUACUCCAGCAGUGUCUCAGCGCCCAGCUAUCCCAGGCUGCGGCACAACUCUACACGCUACAAAAUUUUUCACAAACGUUGCAUAGAAGGAAAAGCUUAGAAAACCAUCCUUAGCCACAAUUCAAAUAGUAGAACUCAUUACCACUCCUCCAGAACAUAGAGAAGUUGGCGAUACUUUUUAACUAAAACAGACUUCUUUAUCCAGCACCUUAGCAGACACCUAGGACACAA